UACGUAGGGUGCGAGCGUUAUUCGGAAUUACUGGGCGUAAAGCGUGCGCAGGCGGUUUUGUAAGCCAGAUGUGAAAUCCCCGGGCUUAACCUGGGAAUGGCAUUUGGGACUGCAAGGCUUGAGUGCGGCAGAGGAGACUGGAAUUCCUGGUGUAGCAGUGAAAUGCGUAGAUAUCAGGAGGAACACCGAUGGCAAAGGCAGGUCUCUGGGCUGACACUGACGCUCAUGCACGAAAGCGUGGGGAGCAAACAGG
rnacentral:rRNA from 1 species